UACGGGGGGAGCAAGCGUUGUUCGGAUUUACUGGGCGUAAAGGGCGCGUAGGCGGCCUCCGCAGGUCAAUUGUGAAAUCUCCGGGCUUAACUCGGAAAGGCCAACUGAUACUGCGGGGCUAGAGUGCGGAAGGGGCAACUGGAAUUCUUGGUGUAGCGGUGAAAUGCGUAGAUAUCAAGAGGAACACCUGCGGCGAAGGCGGGUUGCUGGGCCGACACUGACGCUGAGGCGCGAAAGCUAGGGGAGCGAACGGG
rnacentral:rRNA from 1 species